CAUUUUGCUGCUCAUCAUAUUGGUGUGCGUCUGCAGUCAUUUGGUCCUGACCAGAAAGACCCUCUGCAGAGCCUGAUAACCUAUGAUUGCCUCUAUCAUGAAUGAUUCGUGCAGAAGUAUGCUUGCAAGUAUGCCUGCAUAUGAACUGAUUUCAUUCAAAAUACAUAGUUAUUUUUGGCAUUUAAAACUUUCUGAUUCUUUUAUACGUUGGAUAAAAAGUGUUUUUCACUUGGCUCUGAAAUGAUGUGCAUUUCAAAGAUGCUGUCGUGUGAUUGGCUCUAAGAUAUUUAGUUUUGCCUUGGGCAUGUGUUUGGAGUUCUUGAUUUUUUUUUUUUUUUUUGUCAAAUUCAUAAUUUUUUUAGAGGUUUGGUUAUUUUCUGCUUCUUUUAAACCUAUUCCUAAUUGUUGAAUAAAUCACUACUUUUUUUUCCCCCAGUUGUCAGUUUAACCUGAUCUGUAUUGUUUCUACUCUACACUUCUAAAGGUUUUGUUGUUAUUUUCUAUACAAGGUAUUUUGCUGACUGCUGUAGUUGUUUCCUAGCAUUUGUCAUUAUAGGAAGUCUGUUAGUCACACUGUAAUUACGGAGUUAGCCAGUGAAGUUAAAAGUUUCACCAGUAGAUAUAUCUUUCGAAAAGCUAUCUCAAUAGGCCCUCGUCAUGCUAGGUUCAUUUUUUGCAGUGGUAAGUACUUUAUAUUUAACAAUAUUGCUAGUUGUUACAAAUAUACAAUGAGCUGAAAAUGUAGUGUGUGUUUGUUGACUAUUUUUAUUUUGUGACGUGGUGGAUCUCUUGUAUUACUUCUAAAUGUUUUCUAGACAUAGCUGAUAAUUCAUGAAAUUGCCAUGCAAUUUAAAGAUUGUCUUAGUGUUGCUAUACAUCCCCAUUUAUCCUAAAAACGAUAAAUCCUAUGUUGAAGGUAGUAGGUGAUUCUGUGACAUUAUAAUAUUGUGAUGAAUAUAGUGAAAUAAAUAGUUUGUGUCAUCUACUGGUCUGAACAGGAUCUGCAUUUCAAUUCAGAAUGAGUUGUGUGUCCUAGUGAAGUGUUCAGUAUGUAAAAGAAGAAAAUCACCAUAAAUAAUGUAAUUUUUAAUGUCUUUUCUGUAUUAAGUGCCAACAAAUGUUAAAAAUGUGCUAAUUAAAGGAAGAAACUAAUAUGUUAUCCCUUUUCCUAUCUCUGCCUUCUUAACCAUACCUAGAAGUUUAAUCUAAAUUUGAUAGAGCGUGGAAAGGUACCUUCCAAUAGGUUGGUCAUGUUUUAGCAGGAUUUAUGUCUAUAUUGGUGGUAUAGAGUACUGUGAAUAUGAACAGUUUGUCUAGACAUGUUUGAUGGAGUCAUACUUUCUAUAAUAAUUUGUAAUUACGGUAUAUCCCAUCAUCACAUUUACUUAUAAAAGAGUAUUUAAAAUAAACCAACACCUUCUCCUUCAUGGAUUUUCUCUGUAAAUUUUGGUGUUAAGGCUGGAGUAAUAAAGCUACUGGUACGGGGUGGACUUCAUCGUAGCAUACUUCAUAUACUUUAGUUUAGCUGAACGAACUUCAUAUCCUACAGCCUGAUAGAUGAUUGUAUUUUCUGAGAUUCCAUGCUCAAUUCUUAAUUCAGUUUGUCUUAGCACUUGCAUAUUUGAUACAUUCUGUGUACAUUCAGAUUAUAAAUAUUAUUCUGCAAUGAGCUUUGUCUUCCACUGUUUCAUUUUUCAUAGUUAUCUCCCAAGCAAAACCAACAGAUCCACAAAUGCUACAAUGUCCCUCUAGUUACCUCUGUUCAAUACAAAAAGAGUAAAUCUAAGAAAACAAUAAUGAAAAACACUUUAUGCAUUCUGAGAAAAAUUGUAUACUUCAAUAUUGCAUUCAGAGGUCCAAAAACCUCACUUGGUUACAUAAUCAAGGUCUCAUUUUCAGCUUUUCAGGUGAACCAUAGCCUGUAGGAUAGACAACUGGCUUAGAAAUGAGCAGGGUUUGGAAAGUUAUAGAGGAGGAGUGUCAAUAUAUUCAAAUCCUUCUAUUUCCUGUAGGCAUAUGUUAUGUAUAUAGGACAUGUAUGCAUCCCUCCAGUUGAUGUAAUCUGAAUGCAUGAGUCCCUGAGGCUGCAACCCCACUCCAGUUUCUGGUAUGCGCACAUCCACUUACACAUGCCUGGUCAGUGGGUGCUCUUGCUCCUGGAGCUGGGCCUCACUCACCUCCCAGGCCACUUCUGUUCACCAACUAAUUUGUCUUGGUCUUUGUUGGCAAUUACAUUCUUGCACACUCUUAGUCACUGCAGUUGCUGACACUGCAGGUACAAAGGCCCAUGACUUGUAGUCUGAUUCUGGUUUCAGGCACUCAACUCUUUCAUGUGCACAUUCAGUGGAGGAUCUCUCACACAUGAAAGUGUUAGAAUGGAAUUUAAUAGGAAAGUAGGGUAAGCUGAUCAGGUGUAGAGCAUGGC
ensembl:lncRNA